rnacentral:rRNA from 1 species
CUAUGUUCCUUGGAACAGGACGUCAUAGAGGGUGAGAAUCCCGUCUGGGAUGGGGUGGCCGCGCCCGUGUGAAGCUCCUUCGACGAGUCGAGUUGUUUGGGAAUGCAGCUCUAAUUGGGUGGUAAAUUUCAUCUAAAGCUAAAUAUUGGCCGGAGACCGAUAGCGCACAAGUAGAGUGAUCGAAAGAUGAAAAGCACUUUGAAAAGAGAGUUAAACAGCACGUGAAAUUGUUGAAAGGGAAGCGCUUGCGACCAGACUC